rnacentral:RNase_P_RNA from 2 species
GCGGAUGGCCGGAUGGCCGCGUGGGGGGCAACCCUUGCGAGGAAAGUCCGGACUCCAUGUUGCAAGGGUGCCGGGUAACGCCCGGCGGGGGCAACCCCAGGGAAAGCGCCACAGAGAACAGUCUGCCCCAUCGGCCGCAAGGUCCGGGGUGAUGGUGAAACGGCGGGGUAAAAGCCCACCGCAGGUCUGGCAACAGAACUGGCACGGCAAGCCCCACCCGGAGCAAUGCCGAAUAGGGGCCUCGCGUGGGCUGGUCCGCUUUGCGGAUACCGCCACAGGGACGCAUCAGCCCGGAGGCCCGGGUUGGCAGCUAGAUCCCGCCGGUAACGGCGGGGGCAGAGGAAUGGCCAUCGAAGGGGCGCAAGCCCUGGAACAAAAUCCGGCUUACAGGCCAUCCGCGCAU